GGUAAGAUGAACUCGAAUGGAAGCUUCUAACUUCCUCUUCAAGCGGUUAAAAUCCGUUUUUACACCU
rnacentral:tRNA from 1 species